rnacentral:rRNA from 1 species
CUACGGGCCGCUGCAGUCGAGAAUCAUUCGCAAUGCGCGAAAGCGUGACGAUGCGACGCCGCGUGUAGGAUGACGGCCUUCGGGUUGUAAACUACUGUCAUGGGAGAACAAUGAGCAGGAUGUUAACACCAUCCUGAAGUGAUAGUAUCCCAAGAGGAAGCCACGGCUAACUCUGUGCCAGCAGCCGCGGUAAUACAGAGGUGGCGAGCGUGUUCGGAUUUACUGGGCGUAAAGGGUGCGUAGGCGGCUUCGUGUGUCGGAUGUGAAAUCUCACCGUUCAUCGGUGAAAUUGCAUUCGAAACUGCGGGGCUAGAGUACAGGAGAGGAGAGCGGAAUUCUUGGUGUAGCGGUGAAAUGCGUAGAUAUCAAGAGGAACGCCGGCGGCGAAGGCGGCUCUCUGGAAUGAUACUGACGCUGAGGCACGAAAGCUGGGGGAGCAAACAGGAUUAGAUACCCGAGUAGUC